GCCUCACCCAGAGGUUACAUAUACCCACCUGGGCUCCUUUGGAAGCCUGUUGCUAAGUCUGGUUGGUGCUGGAGGGGCUGCUUUGUCUUCAACAAGGCAGAGAACAUCUGGAGGAGCUUUUUGGAUAACACCACUAGGCUUGGAAAGGAGAAUUU
rnacentral:lncRNA from 1 species